CUUUAUGCAAUAGUCACUGAAUGUGGGUAUGGUUGUGAUUACAUCAGUUGGUUCAGUCAGACCUUCAUGUUUGCAUAUGACAAGAAACUUAUGAUCUAAACUGUUGUUCUUUUCAAGUGCUACUAGUUAUCAUGAAAUGUAUGUGGCACCCAAAUAGAUAUAUAGGGGACAGCUUUGGUGAUGCAGAAAACACCAAGGC
rnacentral:lncRNA from 1 species